GUACAAAAAUCAUAUUUUUGUUUUUUUGGAAGGAUCCGCUGUGCGCUGAUCAUUUCAUAUGAAAUCUACUGUAACACAUUUUUAAAAAUUUUAUAAUCAGUACCCGCAUAAUUUUCUCGAAAUUCUGUUCAGACAGUGUUACUGAACUGCUUGACCAGUGAAUUCAUCGUGAUCAACAAUCCUUUAUCAGAAAAUGAAAAUGUGGAAGGAGUCUUUCUUCUGAAUGCACAUUUGUUUAUUCAUGGUCCUGCCUCUUGGUGCCAACUGGAUAUGAGAGGAAACGUUGAAAAUAGUCGUAAAAGUCCCGAAAAUCCAAAUGAGUGGCCAUUACUAUCAUUGGAAUACACGACUUUAGACACUUAUCAGUUCCUCUUUUGGUCCGGAUCGUUAGACGAUUCAAGAAUGUUACUCCACUCAGCAAAGUAUGGAGCUGAUUUCGAUCCUCUACAUUUUCACAGGUGAUGUACUUACCACUCGCAUUUUCUCUUGCCAUCUUACAUCAGUGGCGUGGCGUAUUUUGCGAUGCAUCGAUUGAUCUGCCAUUUAAACCUAUGAAAAAGGAUCGAUAAACAGGGUGUUUGCGACGAAAACCUUAAUAAUCGAUUCUUUACCGUAGCUUCAAAUGGGGACUUAUCAAUACUCGAUCAUUCACGCUUCGCCACUGUCUUACAUUUUCUUCUUUUUAACUACAUAGAGGCGAUGAAACUAAAAAAUUACAUAUGUGGAAUUACAACGUCGCAGAAUUCCUGUCACACUUUAUUUUUAAAAAAACUUCUAGGAUUCUUCUUCUCCUUGCGAAGAAAAUUCUGUGAGAACCUCAAGGAAUGAUGUGAUUUGUUUUCUCCUUUAAAAAAAAAAAAAAACAAAAAAUAAAUAAAAUGAGGGCGGAAAUUUUGAAAACAGCACCGGAAUAUAUGUAACCUGAGAGUUUCACCGUUGAAUUAUACAAAAGUCAAACUGCAAUUGGAAGAAUAAGUACUCAAUUUUUUCCUUUCUUUUUUUCAUCCCUAUCCUCUUAGCUAUGUAUUCAAUUUCUCAAAGAAACUAUUGGUGAUUUUAAGAUUCAGAACUUUUAAGAUAGCCAUUUCUGAAGACAGCAGGGCUCUGCUGAAAUAGGUAUGCUUUUUUAAAAGCGUCAAAUAAAAUAAAAUGUUCAAUUCAGAGUAGGUAAUAGUGUUUUCCAUGAAAUUUGAUUUAUGUAAUUCGUGUGAGUGCUGUGAUACGCCCACAUGUUUUUAAUACUUUUAGGAAGGCUCACAGCAUAGCGUAAGUGAAUAUACAGGGUGAUCCAAAGGUCGCGCACCACCCCUUUAACCCCUAAUGUUAUUGCCUCUUUUUUUAAAUGACUCCUCUAAAGUUUUGUUGAUUCCCAAAAGUUGUUUCCUUUGACCUAGGAGCACUCACAAAAUUUCAAGUCUCCAUCUCAGUUUGUUCAAAAGUUACCGGGCUCAUGCUUGGUGCGAGUGGUGUGAUACAUUUGGAUCACCAUUAUAUGCUAGCUCCCCGAUCUGUUUUAAAUAUUAAUUAAUUUAUACGCUCUCAUUGUUUGAUCCCAGUGCCAUAGUUUUAACGAGUGAUAAAACGAAACUUUUCUGUUGCUCAGAAAAAGGAAGGUAUACAAUUUCCGAAUUCCAGGCGUCUGAAGAUUCCAAGAGGUGGGAAUUCGUCAAAUCUUUACCGUAUCCUUGUAAGUAACGUUGCGUCGUUUACAAACUCCUCUAAAACUUAAAAAUUUUACUCAAAGAGUUAGUUAUUUCUAAAAAUGUUUGCGUUUAAAAAAUGCAAUUGGUUGUUGAUUUUUUCUGGUCGGCGGUGAUGAAAAAAAAUCGCCUUCAAUAAACAAAGUAUGCAACAUGAAUAGUCGCACAUCGACGAAAAUGGCUUCAGCCUUUUCGUAAUUUUUUGCCUACGCCGUUCGUGAAUAAUUCGGAAUUUAAAUGCAUGAAUAAUAGACGAGUGUGCUAGCCUUUCUGUGUUUAUUAUACUGUCCAUUAAAAUGU
rnacentral:lncRNA from 1 species